CUUUGAGUCUGGAUCAAAUGGCAACCUCCAGAGCUGAAAUGAAGCCAACACAGAAGUGUCAAAUCCUGCAGUUCCUUGAGUGGCCACUUGAGGUUGG